rnacentral:RNase_P_RNA from 1 species
AAAGCAGACCAGAUGGUCGCUGGGGAGAUUAAACCCUCCCGAGAGGAAAGUCCGGACUCCGCAGGGCAGGGAGGUCGCUAACAGCGACCGGGGUAACCCCAGGGAACAGGGCAACAGAAAGCAAACCGCCCCGCACCUCACGGUGCGAGUUAUCUGUCAAAAGUCAAAAGUAAUGAGUACUUUUUUUACUUGUAACUGAUGACUAAUGACUUAUGACUCCGAGACGAAGUCUCGGUGGGUAAGGGUGAAACGGUGGGGUAAGAGCCCACCAGCUCUGGUGGCGACACUGGAGGCUAGGCAACCCCCUCCCGGAGCAAGGCCUAAUAGGUUUCGUUAUAAGAGUUGCCUGCUCUUUUCUGGAAACAGAAGACGAAACGGGUUGGCCGCUCGACCCUUAUGGCAACAUAAGGACUAGAUGAAUGACCAUCACCCUGCCCUUUCAACUACUUAAGGUAUGUGAAAGGACAGGAUACAGGAUCCGGCUUAUGGUCUGGCUUUGGCU